ACCAGACUCCUACGGGAGGCAGCAGUGGGGAAUAUUGCACAAUGGGGGAAACCCUGAUGCAGCGACGCCGCGUGAAGGAAGAAGUAUUUCGGUAUGUAAACUUCUAUCAGCAGGGAAGAAAAUGACGGUACCUGACUAAGAAGCCCCGGCUAACUACGUGCCAGCAGCCGCGGUAAUACGGAGGAUGCGAGCGUUAUCCGGAUUUACUGGGUGUAAAGGGGGCGCAGACGGCGAUGCAAGCCAGGAGUGAAAGCCCGGGGCCCAACCCCAGGACUGCUCUUGGAACUGCGUGGCUGGAGUGCAGGAGGGGCAGGCGGAAUUCCUGGUGUAGCGGUGAAAUGCGUAGAUAUCAGGAGGAACACCGGUGGCGAAGGCGGCCUGCUGGACUGCAACUGACGUUGAGGCCCGAAAGCGUGGGGAGCAAACAGGAUUAGAUACCCCAGUAUA
rnacentral:rRNA from 1 species